GCUCUUCCGCCGCAGCGCGCUCCUGCUCUGGAGCUUGAGAUGAACUGGUCCGACUUCUAGAAGAGAAGGUUUUUUUCCCCCCAGGAAAAGCCAGUGCAGUUACCUGACAGUGAGUAAACCCGAUGUUUCUCGUGGUUUCGUCAGAUCUACCAUCGCCUGCCAGCCUGACCUGCUUUGACCCCGCAGACUGUCCCUGUCCCCUCUGAACAAAAGGAUGGCUGUUGCACAGCAGCCCUAUGGUUUGGCACAGUUGCUGCAGGUACUUAAAAUGGCUGCCUGAACUUAAACUGGGAGGGUAGCCAUUAGGAGAUAGAAAUUUCUUAGGAGUCUUGUGAUUUGGAGACUCCAUUUGUUCUUCAUUCCUCCCUAAAUGGCCAACCACCGUGGGCAAGGGUUCACCUGUCACUCAUAAGCCUAGCCUGAGCUGUGCAGUGGUGCUGCAUANCUUUAAUCCUGGCAGAGGCGGGUGCAUUUCUGAAUAUGAGGCCAGCCUGGCUUACAGAGCAAAUUCCAAAACAGCUAAGGCUACACAGAGAAACCAAACCACUCCAGCCUGAUUGUUUCAAGUACAGACCUUUCCUGAAGGUUCAGGCUUGGGCCUACUCAACUCCAUAGGCCCAAAGGCUAAUUCAUGAUAAAUAAAGUCAGUUAGGCUUCUGUUUCCUUGCUAGACACCUGGCCUCUCAGAGUCAAGUAACCUUCCCUCUCCCCUGACUUGAUUUAUAUAAGCCAGUCCUGCUAGUUCAAUAAUUGAGCUGUUCUCCGAAACAGUAUCCUAGGGUAGAAACAGAUUUAGCGGUGAAGAUGACCAGACCAAGUCUGCAGCCACCAAAACAAGAUUACUAGUUCUCAGAAAAAUUUUCCUGCCCUUCCCUGCACUGAAUUCCAAAGAAAACCACAAAGUGCCCUGAUCUUGCCACCAAAAUUCCCUGAGAUACUAAUUAGCUGGCCAAUGAAUUUACAAAUAUAUUGCUGCUUUGCUGACCAAUCACAAUAUGACUAUUCAACCCUCCAUAAAAAGAGUAUAAAAAGAGCUGUGCUUGGGCUGGUGAGAUGGCUCAGUGGGUAAGAGUACCCGACUGCUCUUCCAAAGGUCCAGUGUUCAAGUCCCAGCAACCACAUGGUGGCUCACAACNNNNNNNNNNNNNNNNNNNNNNNNNUUAAAUAAAUAAAUAAAUAAAUCUUAAAAAAAAAAAAAAAAGAGCUGUGCUUUUAGAGCUGGGGGUUGACUCUCCUUGUGAGGCUGAGCAACCCCGAGCGCGCACGCAUGGGAGCAAUAAACAUCUUGCCAUUGCAACAA
ensembl:lincRNA